GACAGAGGUGGCAAGCGUUGUUCGGAUUUACUGGGCGUAAAGAGAGCGUAGGCGGCCGUGUAUGUCGGGUGUGAAAUCUCUCGGCUUAACCGAGAAACUGCAUUCGAAACUGCACGGCUAGAGGACAGGAGGGGGAAGUGGAAUUCCCGGGUGUAGCGGUGAAAUGCGUAGAUAUCGGGAGGAACACCGGUGGCGAAGGCGGCUUGCCUGGAC
rnacentral:rRNA from 1 species